GACGAACCGUGCGAACGUUAUUCGGAAUCACUGGGCUUAAAGCGCGUGUAGGCGGAUGGGUACGUCGGUCGUUGAAAGCCCCCGGCUCAACCGGGGAAUGGGCGCCGAAACGACCCGUCUGGAGGGACGUAGGGGGACCUGGAACUUCCGGUGGAGCGGUGAAAUGCGCAGAUAUCAGGAGGAACACCGGUGGCGAAGGCGGUUCUCUGGGCCGUUACCUGACGCUGAGGCGCGAAAGCGUGGGGAGCAAACAGG
rnacentral:rRNA from 1 species